rnacentral:rRNA from 1 species
GACGAACGCUGGCGGCGUGCUUAACACAUGCCAGUCGAACGGAAAGGCCCUGCUUUUGUGGGGUGCUCGAGUGGCGAACGGGUGAGUAACACGUGAGUAACCUGCCCUUGACUUUGGGAUAACUUCAGGAAACUGGGGCUAAUACCGGAUAGGAGCUCCUGCUGCAUGGUGGGGGUUGGAAAGUUUCGGCGGUUGGGGAUGGACUCGCGGCUUAUCAGCUUGUUGGUGGGGUAGUGGCUUACCAAGGCUUUGACGGGUAGCCGGCCUGAGAGGGUGACCGGCCACAUUGGGACUGAGAUACGGCCCAGACUCCUACGGGAGGCAGCAGUGGGGAAUAUUGCACAAUGGGCGGAAGCCUGAUGCAGCAACGCCGCGUGCGGGAUGACGGCUUUCGGGUUGUAAACCGCUUUCGCCUGUGACGAAGCGUGAGUGACGGUAAUGGGUAAAGAAGCACCGGCUAACUACGUG